UACGUAGGGUGCAGGCGUUAAUCGGAAUUACUGGGCGUAAAGCGUGCGCAGGCGGUCUUUUAAGUCAGAUGUGAAAUCCCCGGGCUUAACCUGGGAACUGCGUUUGAAACUGGAAGGCUUGAGUGUGGCAGAGGGGGGUGAGAUUCCACGUGUAGCAGUGAAAUGCGUAGAGAUGUGGAGGAACACCGAUGGCGAAGGCAGCCCCC
rnacentral:rRNA from 1 species